rnacentral:rRNA from 1 species
GCCCAGGUGAGACGCCCGGUCCCAUUCCGAACCCGGAAGCUAAGGCCUGGCACGGCGAUGGUACUGCACCCGACAGGGUGUGGGAGAGUAGCA